GACGAACGCUGGCGGCGUGCCUAAUACAUGCAAGUAGAACGCAGUUGCGAACGGGUGAGUAACGCGUAGGUAACUGCCUGGUAGCGGGGGAUAACUAUUGGAAACGCUAGCUAAUACCGCAUACUACCAGAUGGACCUGCGUUGUAUUAGCUAGUUGGUGAGGUAACGGCCCACCAAGGCAACGAUACAUCGCCGACCUGAGGGGGUGAGUGGCCCAACUGGGACUUAGACACGGCCCAGACCCCGACGGGAGGCAGCCGGAGGGAAACUUCGGCAAUGGGGGGAACCCUGAACGAGCCACGGCGCGGGAGUGGAAAAGGUUUUUCGAACGUAAAGCUCUGUUGUUAAGGAAGCGGUACUUAACCAGAAAGGGACGGCUAACUACGUGCCAGCAGCCGCGGUAAUUC
rnacentral:rRNA from 1 species